CUUUGUACCAUGCAGCCACUGGCUCCAAAGGGACCUUCUACCAGGGAAUUUGAUUACUUGGAUAGAGCCCUUCUGUCGACCACUGACCUCAGGGCUAGCUCCCCAAAACGUCGCCUUCUCUACGCUCGUUUCUGCAAAGUAGCAACAGAACAACUUCCAGUAAAAGAAGGCACUGAGGUUUAAGUGCUACGUGGGAGCAGUUGCCGAUUUUUGCAAUGGGAGGCUGCAUAGAUUCAAGGACUUCCUUGAGUGCUCCAGGAGCUUGUCAUUCCAGAGACAGAGCAGCCCAGAAGUCCUGGGAUUUACACCUCUAGUAGAAACCCUCAACCAGAGAAGGAUGGAAGUCAAUGGGCAGAGUGCUCGGGAGACCUUUACCUGUUUUACCUGAUUACAUCCUCUGAGUCACAACGAGAAAGGAAGCCGAGCAACAGCCAGACCUGAUCUUCUUUAAUUGUGCUCUGUGGACCAAAGGCAACAGAAUUACCUAGGCCCCACCCAGAAAAUGCAGAAUCCUGGGUCCCUUAUGAAGCCACCGAAUCAAAAUUGUGGGGAGCAACCAGGAACCUGAUUUUUAAACAAGUUCCCCUGUGAUUCUUAUGCACAUUAAAAUUUGAAAACCCCUGGACAAAGCCACAGUUCCUGGAGGAGCAGAGAUGAGUCAUGUCCAUGAGUAAUACCCCAUGUUGACACAGCCCUGGUGCAAGGUAGGCACGCCCCUCACACCUGUUCUCAUCACCAACAUUCCUUGGACAAGGUCAGGAGACGGUCUUGAGCAAUUUGGUAUAAAACAAAUCUCUGUAAGUCACAUUUUAAAUAUAAUAUUUAGAGGGAUUGCAUUGGCAAAUCAAAUUGUUUUCAUUAUUGUAAAUUGUACUGUGCUCAGAUACUUACCCAAUCUUGACUUCAAAUUUAGCUCAACAUGACCUCUGGCCUUAGGCUUGAGGAUUGUAAGGCCCCCUGGCCCAGCACGCUUGCUGUGCUUGGGGCUCUGUUGUUAGCACUCUGUUUAUUUUGUUCUUGGGCACCGUCCACUACCUGGUCAGAAAAACCUUAGCCCCACUGUUCCCCAGUGCCUGUGUUCAUGUCUUGCCCCAAAGACCCAAUCCCAGAGGCUAUGGGUCCUCAAGGUUGAGAUUCUACCUAUGGCCCAAGCUAAGGUCCUGCCAUCUCUUAGCAGAAUUUCCAAAUCCUGGCCUACUUUCUAGGGUCUUCCAAUAUCAUCUGGUGCUGAAUUCCUAUCACCAAGCUCCAUGUGCCUCUCAGGACACCUCUCAUAAUCCCCCCAAACCAUAUACAGCCUAUCAGUGAGGAGCACAGGCUCGCUGGACAGCCUAGGUAUGAAGCUUGGCUCUGCCACUUGGUGGCUGUGUGACCUUAGCCAAACACCCCACCCAACAAGCCUCAAUUCCUGCAUCUAUAACAGCCCCUACUAUUAUAUGCAGCGUUGUCAUGAGUAUUGAGUGAGGUGAUACACUUACAGCCAAGCACAGUGCUUGGGCACAGCAAGGGCUCAAUAAAUGUUGGGGACCGGUCCAAAAGCUGUUCCAUGUCUGAGUGCGCGUACAUGUGAACAAAGCUCCAUGCCAAAGCAAAUGUGUCUCCAAGCUACCCUAGCAGUGGCACCAGGGGUCACUUAUAGAGUGUCACUUUGGGCUUUGGAACAAAUGGACUUGUAAGCAGCCUUUUCUCCUCUAUUUUUUUUUUUUUUUUUGAGACAGAGUUUCACUUUUGUCACCCAGGCUGGAGCGCAAUGGCGCGAUCUCGGCUCGCUGCAAACUCUGCCUCCCAGGUUCAAGUGAUUCUCCUGCCUCAGCCUCCCAAGUAGAUGGGAUUACUGGUGUGUGCCAUUAUGCCAGGUAAUUUUGUAUUUUUAGUAGACAUGGGGUUUCACCGUGUUGGCCAGGCUGGUCUUGAACUCCUGACCUCAGGUGAUCCACCCGCCUUGGCCUCCCAAAGUGCUGGGAUUACAGGCAUGAGCCAUCGCACCUGGCCAAAGCAGCCUUUUUAGAAUUCACCUUUGAAUAAUAAUAAUAAUAAUAGCAAAUACAUGGUACUCACUAUGAGCUAGACCCUGUGCUGAUAAGGGCAUUACUCAUUUGAUUCCUUCCAUAACAAGGCUGGUACUUUAUUACCCCCACUUUACAG
rnacentral:lncRNA from 1 species